AAUAGAUACCCCGGUAGUCCACGCCGUAAACGAUGAGUGCUAAGUGUUAGAGGGUUUCCGCCCUUUAGUGCUGCAGCUAACGCAUUAAGCACUCCGCCUGGGGAGUACGGUCGCAAGACUGAAACUCAAAGGAAUUGACGGGGGCCCGCACAAGCGGUGAAGCAUGUGGUUUAAUUCGAAGCAACGCGAAGAACCUUACCAGGUCUUGACAUCCCACUGACCGGUAUAGAGAUAUACCUUUCCCUUCGGGGACAGUGGUGACAGGUGGUGCAUGGUUGUCGUCAGCUCGUGUCGUGAGAUGUUGGGUUAAGUCCCGCAACGAGCGCAACCCUUGAUCUUAGUUGCCAGCAUUUAGUUGGGCACUCUAAGGUGACUGCCGGUGACAAACCGGAGGAAGGUGGGGAUGACGUCAAAUCAUCAUGCCCCUUAUGACCUGGGCUACACACGUGCUACAAUGGAUGGUACAAAGGGCUGCAAGACUGCGAAGUCAAGCCAAUCCCAUAAACCAUUCUCAGUUCGGAUUGCAGG
rnacentral:rRNA from 1 species